rnacentral:rRNA from 1 species
AGAGUUUGAUUCUGGCUCAGAACGAACGCUGGCGGCGUGGAUAAGACAUGCAAGUCGAACGCUGGUUGUAUGAUAGCAAUAUUAAACAGCCGGAGUGGCGCAAGGGUGUGUAACACGUAGGUAAUUUGCCUUGAGGUUUGGAAUAACCCGGAGAAAUUUGGGCUAAUGCCAAAUGUGACAAAAGCUUGGCAUCAAGAAUUUGUCAAAGCUGGGGAUCGCAAGACCUGGCGCUUCAAGAUAAGCCUGCGGCCUAUCAGCUAGUUGGUGAGGUAACGGCUCACCAAGGCUAAGACGGGUAGCUGGUCUGAGAGGACGACCAGCCACACUGGAACUGAGACACGGUCCAGACACCUACGGGUGGCAGCAGUCGAGAAUUUUUCUCAAUGGGCGAAAGCCUGAAGGAGCGACGCCGCGUGGGGGAUGAAGGGCUUCGGCUCGUAAACCCCUGUCAUUUGUGAACAAGCAGCACCGUUUAAUAGAUGGUGCUUUGAUAGUAGCAGAAGAGGAAGGGACGGCUAACUCUGUGCCAGCAGCCGCGGUAAUACAGAGGUCCCAAGCGUUGUUCGGAUUCACUGGGCGUAAAGGGUGCGUAGGCGGUUGGGUAAGUUUGCUGUGAAAUCUCCGGGCUUAACCCGGAAAAUGCAAUGAAAACUGCCUGACUUGAGGAUUGUAGGGGAGACUGGAAUUCUCGGUGUAGCAGUGAAAUGCGUAGAUAUCGAGAGGAACACCAGUGGCGAAGGCGAGUCUCUGGACAAAUCCUGACGCUGAUGCACGAAAGCUGGGGGAGCAAACAGGAUUAGAUACCCUGGUAGUCCCAGCUGUAAACGGUGCGCAUUUGCUGUAAGUGGAAUCGACCCCGCUUGUGGCGUAGCUAACGCGUUAAAUGCGCCGCCUGGGAAGUACGGUCGCAAGAUUAAAACUCAAAGAAAUUGACGGGGGCCUGCACAAGCGGUGGAGUAUGUGGCUUAAUUCGAUUCAACGCGAAGAACCUUACCUAGCCUUGACAUGCAAGUAGUAGAAGCCUGAAAAGGUGACGAGGUAGCAAUACCAGCUUGCACAGGUGCUGCAUGGCUGUCGUCAGCUCGUGUCGUGAGAUGUUGGGUUAAGUCCCGCAACGAGCGCAACCCCUGUGUCCUGUUGCCACUCCUCAGUUGGAAGCACUCUGGACAGACUGCCUCGCUUAAACGAGGAGGAAGGUGGGGAUGACGUCAAGUCAGUAUGGCCCUUACGGCUAGGGCUGCACACGUACUACAAUGCCUAGCACAAAGAGACGCUAAACCGCAAGGUGGCGCAAAUCUCAAAAACUAGGCCCAGUUCAGAUUGUCGUCUGCAACUCGACGGCAUGAAGCUGGAAUCGCUAGUAAUGGCGCAUCAGCUACGGCGCCGUGAAUACGUUCCCAGGCCUUGUACACACCGCCCGUCACAUCAUGAAAGCCGGUUGUACCCGAAGUCACUGCGUUAACCGAAAGGAGACAGGUGCCGAAGGUAUGGCUGGUGAUUGGGAUGAAGUCGUAACAAGGUAGCCGUAGGGGAACCUGCGGCUG